rnacentral:rRNA from 1 species
UACAGAGGGUGCGAGCGUUACUCGGAAUUACUGGGCGUAAAGGGUGCGUAGGCGGUUCGUUAAGUCUGUUGGGAAAUCCCCGGGCUCAACCUGGGAAUGGCAAUGGAUACUGGCGGGCUAGAGUGUGUCAGAGGAUGGUGGAAUUCCCGGUGUAGCGGUGAAAUGCGUAGAGAUCGGGAGGAACAUCAGUGGCGAAGGCGGCCAUCUGGGACAACACUGACGCUGAAGCACGAAAGCGUGGGGAGCAAACAGG